CAAAUCUCUUCACAAAAUAUUAAGUUCAAGAUCUUCCACAAUUGUAGAUAUGUGGGCGUGCUAUCGACGUUGAUUGUUCUCGACUGGUCACAGUAGUUCAGUUGCAUCAGAAAUACGCAACCACUCUAUUAGCAAAGAGUUACUGUAAGAUAAAGAUGGGGUUGGACCCAAUAACUGUUAAGUGAGGGACCCAAUGAUGGCUUUAUAUCUGCUUGUAAACGGU
rnacentral:lncRNA from 1 species